rnacentral:lncRNA from 1 species
UGGGAAGAGAGCUGACAACCUUCUGUGGUAAGGGGUGAACAUCCUUGGGAAGCCACAGAGAGCAAGGCGCAGUUUUUCAUUGAUCACCACUUUCAAGAUGCUCCCAGAAUCGUGCUGUCUAGGAAGCCAUUUAAACUGGUGAGAAGCCAUCCUCUCUUGAAUGGGGGCUCCCACUGUACAUCUGGCACCCACUUCACAGAUUCUGGGGGAUGUCAACACCAGCACUGCUGAGCUGUGUGACCUUGAGCAAGACAGUUAGCCUCUCUGAACCUCAGUGUCCUUCUCUGUAGGCUGGAGAUUGAUAUACCUUCAUUAUCGGGGUAUGAGAGUGUUAUAAGGUGGGAUGGUGGAACACGCUGACUGGUCUGGGCUAUUCAAGAUCCAUGAACUGGAAGAUGCUUUCUUAUAACUCAGAGAAAAGAGAUGAAAAUGAAUCAAAGAACAGGAAGGAGACAAGCUCAGGAGAGUCACCCUAAGAAGGAUGUGUGGAAGACUUGACUGGAGGAUCAAAAUGUGUCGGGGGAAGGUGUACAAGGAGGAGUAAGGACACAGAUGUCCUGACUUCACACAGUGGGGGAUUAGAAGCCACCAUCAAACACAGAUGAAACAGGAAUAAAAGUAGUAGUACAUUACUUAAGCUUUAAAAGGGUAAGACUCCUGGGAAUUUGGAAGCUGAGACUUGAGGCAAGUAUUUAGGAUUUGCUGUCUCACCUCCCUGCUAUGACAGUCCUUAAUUAAUGGAGAUGAUGGAGAACAGCUUGCUGGGCUGAGUGGCAGGAGCCAUGCAGCUGCUGGGGCUGGAGUGGGUCAGGAAGCUUCAUCAAUCUGGGACACAUGACGUGCUUGGUGGUGGCGGAGCCUGACGCAUCCCUCUUCAUCGACAUUGUGUCAAUAGGAGCAGAGGCAUUUAGCUGUGUAAACACAGAGCUUCAGUGGCAGCACCCUAAAUGCUUAGCUGAUAGAUCCGGAAUUAAAUACAGACCUAGAAACUGGAGUUGGAAAACUUCCUGGCAGCACUCCUUCCCUGCCAUCCCGGUGAUCCCCUUCUGGAUGGAGGGUGUGGAGCUCAGCACAUUCACGUCUGCAGUUCUCAGAGAACCAAGUGUUAAGGAAUGUCAGGGAAGGAAGAAGGCAGCCAGCCAGGAAGGGGAGGUCCUGGCCUGAGCACGCCAGGCACAGAGGGAUAGAGGGUAGGGAGGAAACUGCACCUGUCUCCAACCCUCGACCCCAGCCCCGAAACACGACAUUGGCUGAAACAGAUUAAAAGCAUAAAAUGGCCCAAAGAAAUGGGAGAAGGUUGGCCUCUGGUCGGGCAAACAUGAGGGCAUGAAGAUAUAUAAUGUCCCACACGGGAGGAAACCCUUGCCGGGCCCCUCAGGAUUUAUAACAAGCUCACCUGAAGGAGAAACUUCAGGGGCACUUACACCAUCAGAUACCUAGAAAGGAGCUGUCAUUUCCUCACUGAAGAGUUUGCAAGCAGAUGGAAAAUGUGUGUCUGGAUCAUCUUGUGGCCCGAAUGGGGAGAAAAGAUGCAGUAUUCCAAAGCAGGAGAUUCACUGAAAAAGAUGUUUAAGAAGUUGCUGAUGAAGAAAAGUUCAGGAUUCACAGCUCCAUACAAAGGGAAUAGCCACUUUUCUCAUUUUGAGAUAUGACUACUAACAAGUAUUAUUCUGCAUCUUCA